GGAAAUGUUUUCACACUGAAUGGGAAGAAGUGACACAUUCAGGUUACUUUUCAAACUGAUACAGAAUCUAAUUGCUGUGUGUUUAUUUACACAUGUUGAAAUUGCUUCUUAGUUGGUGAGUAAAUCUUCAUGAUACCUUUUUCCUUUAUUUUCUAUUCAUGAGAAGGCAACCAUUUUUAUGCUGUGAUUGUUUUCAAUGACUUCCACUUUUACUUGCGCUGACAAUCCUGAUGACAUUUAUCUGACUUAAAACACUAUCUAAACCAAUUUCAAAUACUAGAUUUCGAAGCAUUCCUUUGUUACUAUCAGCAAAGUUGUUAAAAGGCCUGAAAAAAAGAAGUAAGAAAUUGAUAAAAAAAUUCAUCCGUUGCAUUCCAACUAAUCAGUUAUAGUUGGCGGCCAUUUAUCUACAUGUGCAUGUAAUCCUAAAUUCAAUUACUUCAUCAUGAACAUAUGUUUUCAUGUUCUAUUCAUUUCUUUAAAUAUUUUUUUCACUUGAAUAAAAUAUCCAGGCAGUUAUUACAAAAACCUUGAGGAACUCAACUUGUAGACCAUGUUCAAUACUUGAGUAUAUGCUAGACAUUUGUUUAUAUCGUGCCAGAUUGUUUCACUUGGAACUAAUCCAAGUUGUGCUUUUGAUUAUGUGCUUAUUUUGUUGUGGGUUAGAACAAAGAGACGGGGAUGAUACAGAGGCACAUCGGUUGUGUGAACUUUGAAGAAACCGAACUUAUCCCUAUUCUUGCCCUUAUCUCACCCAUCUUUAGUUUUUCCUUUCUAAUUAAUUCUCAUCAUAACUAAACUCUAAUGCCAAAGUAGUUGGGUCAUCUAUAUGGAUAUUUUUUCUCCAUUCCAGUUGGUUUGGCUGUAUGCUGGAAAAUAUAUAGGGUCACCAUUGGUUUGCUGUUUGCCUCCUUCUCCUACAACUUUCAAUAUGCUCAACCUUUCAUAUGGAUUUGUUAGUUCUACAAUGUACAUGUCUGAAUCAUCACAAUCUUCCUUUGCCCAAUUGUUUUUGUCUCAAAUGGAUGCCAUUCUCUCCUAUGCUUGUAUUAUUUCUUAUUUGGUUCUUGUUUUUAUGCUUCUGCACCCAUCUCAACAUUCUCAUUUUUCCUACACUAAUUUUGUUACGAGCAUGAUUUCAAACCUAGCCUAGUCAUUGAACCGGUGAAGACAAAGGUUUAAGGGUUUAAGAUUCAAACAAUAUAUUAUUAAACAAAAAUUAGAUUUAUA
rnacentral:misc_RNA from 1 species